rnacentral:misc_RNA from 1 species
UCUGGUGAAAAUGGAAAAGAGGAUGCAAUUUUAUUGUCCAAACUAAUGUGUUCCUGUGAUACAUGAAUAAAUCUACAAAAGGCAAGUAGGCCAUUUUAUGCUGCAGAGAAACUUUAUUUCCCCGUGUCAAAUAAAAUGAUAAAAGUAUAUACCAUUUCUAUAAAUCAGCCUUUUUCUCGAGGUUAAAUUGUUCUGAGCUAGUUUAAAAGGGCAUAUUCAAUAAACACUUUUGCGUGAUAUCUAGUUGUACUUUUUGUUGGCUCUAUCUUUUUAGCAUAUUUCCUGCCUCUUGCAUUGGCUUGUUCAAUAGUUUAGUUAGUAUACUUGCAGGCAGUUGCAAGUAAGGGCGUUGGAUUUGGUGCCCUGGCCCUUUCUAGGGACCAAAAACAGUUGAGAUUUCUAAUUGAGUCUGGUAUGAUUGAUUGUCUUUUCUGUUUUAAUGUAAAAAAAUGUAUGCAUGAUG